GGGUCAGUAGGUUGGUCGUGCCACCGGUACGUACUGGUCUCACUGAUUCCUCCUUCCUGAAGAACCGUAAUGCCAUUAAUUUGGUGUUGCGGGGAAACAGGACUGUUACUUUGAAAAAAUUAGAGUGUUUAAAGCAAGCUAACGCUUGAACACAUUAGCAUGGAAUAAUGAAAUAGGACGAUCGAUCCUAUUUUGUUGGUUUCUGGGAUUGACGUA
rnacentral:rRNA from 1 species